rnacentral:rRNA from 1 species
GGGGAAUUUUCCGCAAUGGGCGAAAGCCUGACGGAGCAAUACCGCGUGAGGGACGAAGGCUUUUGGGUCGUAAACCUCUUUUCUCAGGGAAGAACACAAUGACGGUACCUGAGGAAUCAGCAUCGGCUAACUCCGUGCCAGCAGCCGCGGUAAUACGGAGGAUGCAAGCGUUAUCCGGAAUCAUUGGGCGUAAAGCGUCCGUAGGUGGUUGUGCAAGUCUGCUGUCAAAGCACAAGGCUUAACCUUGUAAAGGCAGUGGAAACUGCACGACUAGAGUGCGGUAGGGGUAGAGGGAAUUCCCAGUGUAGCGGUGAAAUGCGUAGAUAUUGGGAAGAACACCGGUGGCGAAAGCGCUCUACUGGGCCUGCACUGACACUCAGGGACGAAAGCUAGGGGAGCGAAUGGGAUUAGAUACCCCAGUAGUC